AUAAGAAAAAGAGGAUCAUGGGGGACCAAUGGCAUUGCUUGUUAUAUAGAGGGCGCAAGUAUAUAUAACUAGUACAGACUGUCUUUAAGAGAAAUCUGCAAGGGGAACCGUCGCUGCAUUAUGUAAUCGAUUGCAAUUCUUGUAAAAUAACACUUUUGUGCUAUUAAGUUUACCAUUACAGAAAGAUCCAUUUUCAUUUUACAUUUUUACUAACAUAUAGAAUGAACUUACAGUUUAACCAAUGUGACCGUAAAGACAGAUUCAGCCAAAAUACCUGGAAGACGACAGAACAUUUCUUUUACAAAGAAAUCUGUUUCAAUAGGCGCAAUAGAUGGGAAUUGGAAAAAAUAAAUCCAUUUAUAUCUAACAUAUUUAUCCCAUAAUUUGUCCAUCAAACUUUAAUAUUGCAGGAUAGUAUCCGUAGAUCUAAAUAAUUAUAGUUUCAUUAUGUCAAUGUGUUUCUGUUAAAAUUUAUAAUGAUUACUACUUUACUGUUUUAAGUUAUUAAAAAAACACUAUAAUAAAA